CUUGUUUCUUGCUCAAGGUUAGUAAAAUUAAAUAUUAAAUUAAGAUAAUAAAUUGGAAGCUCAUAUCACAGAUAUCAGAUAACGAGAAAUUAAAUUAUAUAUUAAUUACACAGACAGACGAGUUAUGGUACCAAGCGAUAAAUGGAGAGAUUUUGAAAAUUAUAUGAUAAUUAUACUCCAUCAAAUUCAUGUGUCUUUAGAAUAUGAUACUAAGAACAUAAAAAUUAUAAAUAGAGUUAUAAAAUAAUCGAGAAAUCGGUGAAAUUAAGUUUACGAUAUUGGAACACAUUUUUGUCCGAGCAGGGACGGACCGAUAUCACUUGAGAUUUCACUGCUGAAUCAAGAAUAUGUCAUUCGAUUUAUACCACAAAUUUGUACAAUAAAAGAAAACUGUUUCUACCACGGUUUAGUAUUCUAGUAAAUCUCACACACAAAUACGCUUUAAAAAAGUCGAUGUUUCUAAACAAUCUCUACGCAAAUGAAUCAGUAAUCUUUAGCAAUAAAUCUUAAAUAUCGCUAAGCUAUCGAAAAUUCGUACAAUAUUAUAUUUUUCGCGAAAAAUGCAAGCGUUCAACAAACAAUCGUUUAAUGCAAAGCACAAAUUUUUCAAAUAAAAAUCUAUUAUUUUUUCCAAAAUUGACCACCAUGAUUAAUUCGAAAUAUUCUCAACUAUUACGAAUAUAACUGUUACGCAUAUUAUAUUUUUCAAGUAGAAAAAAAUCAAUAUGCCUAAGUAACGCACGCGUCUACCAAACAAUCGUUACGAAACGCGUGUACAAAGGUCUUUGCUCCUCCGGUCAGUACACAGGCUCGCGAGCAGCGAGAUAGGCCAGACAGUUUCAUGGCAAAAUAAGAGGACGCGCCUUCAUUGGCUUUAAUGGGAUGGCAAAUAGGCGGGCAGGAAAUUUGCGCUUUUGAAGGCACCUUCGUGCGCACGAGAUAGCACCGCGCAAGAGGGCACGCAGGAAAUUCUAAGCAAGAUGGCCGCGACGAGAUUCCACUGAUUCAAUAGAAACUAUUUGCACUGCCAUUAGACGGUCCGUUGGUGUUGGUUGGGCGCCGUGGCCUGUAAACACGGCCACACAAGAAUCGAAACGAACUUCGCGCCAGAGAGAGAUAAGGAGACAGGCAAAAUAUUGUCGAACCUUGGUAAGUAGAAUUUAAAAAUCUUCGAGUUACGGAGGUUCUAUCUUAUCAAGCUUCUCUGAUAAUACAAAAUUUCAACGUUUCGGAAGUCAAAAUGAUCAACUUCACUGUUUAUUAGUUCCUUACUCUCCUCGUAUGGACGUAAGUGUACCAUAUUCAAUGUUAGAGAAAUAAAUGAUUUGCUUCCAUAAGGGUAUUCAUCGAAGAUAGAGUUAGAGCGUUGUACAAACUUUAACAUGCAGAGAUAAAUCGCGGCUCGCGGAGAUUCGAUUUUUCUUUUUAAGUUCGAAUUAAACAGGUAAAAUAACAUAUCUAAUCACGUAGCAAAUUAUUCAAUGUAAAGUAACUUUAUAUUUCGAUUUAUAGAAGUUUUCACAGCGGGAUGAAAGAGAACGAAGAAACUUGCAGAGGUUUUCGAGUUACCGAGGUUCGACUAUACAGCAAACAGGACAAGAGAGAGAGAAAGAGAGAGAGAGAGAGAGAGGAGUAAAAAAAAGAAGAAAAAGAAAAAAAGGAACGAGUGGCGUACUUAAUGGCUUACACUGUUGCAAGAAGAACUCUAAAUUAUCGUUGCAACAGGCGUUUCAUUACAAUUGCUAAUAAAUGGCACGCGGCGAUGGUCGUGCGGGUUUAUGCGCUUAUGUGCUCAUAAGCGCAUGCAUGCCCCGCUGAAAAGACACCGGCGAUGUCUUUAUUUCAUUUAAAGGCCACGCGAGCUUCCGAGUUUAUGAGAAUAAAUUAUGCACACCUUCGGAGGGCCGUUGCUUGCCACCGCCAGGCGAGGCCUUUUGUCUCUCUUUCGCGUCGCGAGAAAAAAAAAACCACAUUCCGCGCGUGUCGCGACGCCACGCCGCGAGAAUAAAGGCCCUCGCUGUUUAACAGUUCGUCACAUUCGUAGCCGUGACUUAAUGUCGGACGCGGAGAUGCUUCGAACAGGAUUCGCCCUUUCAGGCGAGAAACUUUCUUCGUGCUUCGUUAAGAACAUCGCGAUAAUGAUGAAACAUCACUCGGUGUUUGGCUUGGAUUGCUUCGUCGACGUAUCCGGGUAAGUUUCGAGGCGCUGUUUAAACGUUCCGCUAUUUAGUUUAGAAUAUCGACAGUGGUUACUAUCUUUCAGUACCAAAUCUAGAAGAAACUUCGAGAAAGUCAAGUAUAUAAUUUGUAUCGAAUUUUGAUACAUUUGUUGUCCCCUUUUGUGGAUGAUAAUAUACUAAAAUACAAGAUAAGAGAUACGCUUGAAAAUUUUUAUUGGCAAUGACAUUUUGAUAACUCGAUAAUCUAAUUUAAAAUAUUGUCAAUAGCACUGUGUUGGAUAGCUGUACGAUCUAGGAAGUACAUUAAUGAAUAGAUUUUGAAAAAAUUCAUACUUUUCAUUGGUAGUAACUAUAUGUAUACUGAGAUACCAGGUGAAUUUUACAAACUUUAGUUGGAAAUGAAAUCUUGCCAAUACUUAUCGUGUUUUGGUAUAAGAUCAAGGAAGUAGAGGUUCCUUUGAUAGAGAAAUUUUAAGAAGUUUGAGUCAUUUGAACUGGAAUUUUUACAUAUUUUGUUGUUCCAGGGUAAUAAAUAUUCGUUUAAGUAUAAAAUAAAAUUUAUUUUUAAAAUCUUUCAUUAGGAAUAAAAUUUUAAUUUCUGGAAAAUCUCGAUUUGUAUGAUUCUCAUGAUUUGCAUGAUCAUUAAUAAGACCUUUCAACUGUAUUGAAUACUAUACAAGUUUUUAAUUAUUCAUAUUUUUAAAAUAAUUUUUAUGCGAAGUUCGAGAGAACAAUAAUUAUAAGUGAUUUUGAUAAAUGACUGUAUCAUUAGUUAUUUGGACGUCUAGAAUCUAGACACUAGUUAAUCAAGUCCUAAGAUCAAUAGACGUUGACGUAAUCAAAAAUUUCUAUCCUAAUGAUAGAAGUAUGGUGGAACAGACAUACUAUUACUAAUUUAUCGAAUGAAGUUAUUUCCCUCAGUUAUUCGCAUAAUCAGCACCUUGUGGCAAGAAAGCUAACGUUACGAGUAACUACCAGCUUCACUGACAUUUACGUAUUUAGUCUCUUUCCUUUCGAUCCUUUUAAAAAUUCGAUUGGAUUAACUUAUCAUAUCGUAAAGGAAAAGUGAUUCGACCUCAAAUAUUUGAUCUAUCGAUAAUCUAACAAAUGAUAAAUAAAUAUUAAUUAUGUUUAUAAGAAAGAAAUUAACAGUACACUUACAAAAUUUCUAACGCUUUAAAAAGAUUUCAUUUAAAGAUUUUUAGGCUUCAAGAUCCCAAAUAUCAAUUAUCGAUAAGUUAUUGGAGAAUUAACUUAGAUCAAAUGGAUAUCUUCAACAUAUAAUAAUUUCUAAGAUAUUUUUCUCAUCUUUUAUAGAGAAACACAAGAUGGAAGAUCAUCGAAAUUCUUUUAAACCUACGUAGGUAUACGUACUAUUUCUAUUUAUUUUUUUUAAACAAUCCUCAUUCGUUCCUCUACACUACCUUUACCGUACACAAUUCCUAUUCAUUUUUAUUUAAUUUCUUUUCUCAAAUCCUAGCCCUAAUUCUCUAAUCCAAAAAGAACCACAAUUGAACCAAGCUGCUACUUAAAUUUCUAAAAGCACAACGGAUCGCGUACCGAUCAUAUACAAUGGAUCCGUUCAAUUUCCGGCUUCCUCCUUGGUGGUGGCCGAAAUUGCAUUUCUCUCGAAGACGUCCCCGAACGUGUCUGCGUACGCCAUCUCUGUCACGCUGGGAGGCACAAUUUCCGCUCCACUUCCGGAAAUGGACCUAUUGUCCGAUGUAAUCGGAAGACAACAAUAUCGUGGACGAGCGUAUCUCUCCCUUCUCUAUCUACAGUCUACAUGCAGCCGUGAAUCCGCAGGCUUAUUCGCACACACACGCACCAGACUAAGCCUCGUAUGCAUAGAAAAUGACACUCGGUACCGCAAUACAGAGGGUGGAAGCCAUCGAUGAAUAAUUUCCACGCGACUUGCACGCUCCGGGCAAAUUGUUGAUGAAUUAAGAAAGGAAUGUAUGAAUGCUCGAUGCCUUAGGUUUUCUGCUCGAGAAACGUCAAAGAAGAUUCCGAGAGAAUGUUGCUUCAAUGAUUGCUAUUGUUUGAUUAAUAGACUGUGGAUUAUUAGGAGUUUGUGAUAAAUUUAAUGAAAUUGCAAAAAUCCAGAGUGCAUAUAACGUAGAAAAGUAUAUAAAGUAUACGUGUUAUACUGUGUGUAUACGUGAAUUCCGCUAUCUAAAUAAUAAUACUCUUAAAGAAAAACUUUUUGUAAAAAAUUAUAUGGAAGUAAAGAAUACUCUGUCAUUGAUAUCUGCAACGCAGUUGUUGAGGACAGAAUUCGACACAUUUUCUCUUCUUUACUGAUAACAUAAUUUUACAUAUGAUGCACAUGGAAUAGCUACAAUGGACUGAUAUCCUUACGAUCAAUUUUACGUUUGUACGAACUGAACACUUUAUUCUUACAACAACGUUACUUUUGUAGCAAAGGGAUGUUUCAACAUUCUAAGUAAAAUAAAUUCGAUCUUUAUACCAAUAUGUAAAUUAUUCUAGAAUGUUGUCGAGUAGCAUUACUUCCUAUCUACCAAGAUGUUAUCGAUCUAUAAUCUGUAUAAUUACGAUCUAUUUUGGUAUAUCGAUGUAACUAAAAGAAGCACGUCGGUUACAAUGAAGAAAAAGAAGCUUCGCGAUCACGAUGUACGAAGAAAGAAAGAGAACCGGUUAAAAUGCAAAAGGAACAUUCAUCGAAACCACUUUCAUCCGACGACGAUCAUCGGUUGACGAUCCCGAUAAUCUCAACGUGAUGGUACUUCGAUCAUAUGGACAAGGCGACGUUGUUAAAGCUCGUAAAUUCUGAGACAUCGAUUAUCAUCCUCUACGAACUAGACACGCGAUGUAUCUUUUACGAUCUACGAUAACUAUGUAUACUCGCAUGAUGCAAAUACAAGCGAGAUAUUAAAGUGACAGAAAGAUGCUCGUGACGAAGAUACCACCCAGUAGAGCAGACCAAUAGAAACGCACACGAUCGCGUUCAAGAGGAUCGAAAUUAUCCUUCUGGCGAUCCGCGUACUCUGAACAUGCACGUAUUAUGCGAAUAUCCUGUAUAUAGGGUGGAUCGAUAAGAGAUUACAACGAUUCAAAUAGCAAUUUCUUUUAUCAAAGAAUAAUGAAAAUAGGAUAGCAUAUGCAUUUUUUAAUCGCGUCUCGUCCUUUCGUUUAUAUUUUCGUCUCAAUUAUAUUUUUCUAACAUUAAGAAAUACCUUUAAUUCCAACAAAAUGGAUAAAUUAUUAUUGCGCCAUGCACAUUUUCGUUUCAAUUUUAUGUCAAACGUCUUUCUAAAGCAUCACAGAUACUUUUUAUUCGUUAACAUGAAAAUUGAAAUAUAAAAGUUCAAGGUUCGUAGCGAAAAUUAAGAUAGAGAAUGGAAAAAUUUACAACGAUACGUUGUCCUCGUCUUAAUACUCGUUUUCGUUAUUUUUUAACUAAUUUCGCGAAUUAAGUCAUUCACGCGGUUUUUACUCUCUAUUACAGGAAUCGUUUCAGUUACUCUCCUCACAUUACCUACUCGUCUUAUAUCGUAUUUCUUAUUUAAAUACUCUAUCUUAUACUAGUAGCGAUAGUAGAAUUAAAAACUUAUGGCAGUGCCUUAUAAUAACCUACGAAAAGACAAGUUCUAAUAAUAAAAAAUACAAAUGAAAUUACGACAACGUAAGUUUAAAGCGACGGUGAAACAGAUUAUUUUAUAUUCAUAAAGUCCCUAAAUGUUGAAAAAGAAAAGGGACAGAAAACGAUUAUUUGUAUCGUUAGAAAGGACAAAGAAUAAAUUCUCCUCUCACAUAAUUGUUAUUCAAUAUUAUAUUACCGCAAACUUUAUCUUUAAAUAUUAUCGAACGACGAAGUUUUGAAAUCACAGAAUCUCGAUUUCAGAUUAAAAUCACCGUAGAUCGAAUAAACGUAACGAAGAUAUAUAGGUGUUCUGUUCCUGUUGAAUUACCCUGUACAUGUAUACGUGCAUAAUGCACACGUAUUGCCGCGUAUUGUAUUCAUACAGUGUACGAACGGGAUACAAGGCCUCGUACGUGUUGGUACAAGCGCAUGGUGUACGGUUUGAUGCAUGCGAAUGCGUAUCCGGAUCAUGGGUAAAUUAGUGCGAGAAUUAGUGUGAGAAUUAGUGCGGUACGCGCACCGACGUAUACGCGUAGAGAGAUACGAACGGAGAGAGACAAGGAAAAAGAGAGAGAGAGAGAGAGAGAGAUCGGCUGGGUCGUUGCAUAACGUUAACCCCGCGUGUCGUGACUUGUAAAUGCGGUGUAAAGACUGACGUGAAUAUACGCACUAAUGGAGGCGUUGCGGGAGUUCGUAAUGGCCGCGUGGUGCGGUGCGGCGAGCGGGUUAAUGAAUUAAAGAAGAUAAGGGACGCGUGUUUCCGCGAGCAACGCCGCGCAUAAAUCCACCGGGAACGAUUCAGUUCGAGAUGUCCUCCAGGUGGAAGGUGGACGAACCCCUUUCGAAUCGAAUCGAUCGCCUCUCUCGUCGGCGAAAUUCAUGGAUAUCGCUUUGGACACACCUUUAACUUCGAACUGUCUGGUGUGAACAGAGUAGAUAGCGCACAGAGUGGAGCGCGCGUGCUCCUCGAAGCUGUCGUUCUACACGCUGGACGUAUAAUGUAACGAAUGGAGGAUAGAAAAGAAUAAAAGAAGGAAAAGAGAGUAUGAGCGAG